rnacentral:rRNA from 1 species
GACGAACGCUGGCGGCGUGCUUAACACAUGCAAGUCGAACGGAAAGGCCCUGCUUUUGUGGGGUGCUCGAGUGGCGAACGGGUGAGUAACACGUGAGUAACCUGCCCUUGACUUUGGGAUAACUUCAGGAAACUGGGGCGAAUACCGGAUAGGAGCUCCUGCUGCAUGGUGGGGGUUGGAAAGUUUCGGCGGUUGGGGAUGGACUCGCGGCUUAUCAGCUUGUUGGUGGGGUAGUGGCUUACCAAGGCUUUGACGGGUAGCCGGCCUGAGAGGGUGACCGGCCACAUUGGGCCUGAGAUACGGCCCAGACUCCUACGUGUGGCAGCAGUGGGGAAUAUUGCACAAUGGGCGGAAGCCUGAUGCAGCAACGCCGCGUGCGGGAUGACGGCCUUCGGGUGGUAAACCGCUUUCGCCUGUGACGAAGCGUGAGUGACGGUAAUGGGUAAAGAAGCACCGGCUACCUACGU